rnacentral:lncRNA from 1 species
UGUGGGCACAUACGCCGUGUGCUGGUGCAGUUGGAACACCGGCAGAUUCACAGGCUGUCCCAGUUGGAAGGACUUUUGGAAACCAGUCGGACCAGCCCUUCAUGUCUUCGAUGUAAAAUAGAGAGAGGCUGAACUGCGAGGUGGCCACCAACACAGAGGCCCUGCAGAGCGGCAGGAUGGAGAUAUGGAGCUCUACAUCUCUGUGCAGAACCUGAGCCGUCCCAGCUCAGCAAGAAAGCAUCGCUGGAGGGCAGCCUGGUGGAGACGGAGGUGUGUUACAGGACCCAGCUGGCCCAGCUGCAGGGGCUCAUCAGAAGCAUGGAACAGCAGCUGUGCGAGCUCUGCUGUGAUGCAGAGCACCAGGACCACGAGCACCAGGUCCUUCUGGACGUGAAGACGCGGCUGGAGCAGGAGAUCGCCACCUACAGCCGCUUGCUAGAGGUUGAGGACGCCCGGUGAGUGUGCACCCAGGGGAACCUCCUCUGCCAGGGCCUGCUUCUCCCCAGCAGUGCUUACAGGGGCCUGGGCUGGCUGGCAUCCCUGGGUCGAUGGGUGCUCCUCUCCCUGCAGGCUGGCCACUCAGUACUCCUUGU